GCAUUCUCUGCUUGAUUGGAUAAUAUACAGGUACAUGUCUAGUUUAAUUGAGUAGGGGCCAAUUUAUAUGAACUGGUGAUAGACUUGAAUUUGCUAAGCUGAUCCUAGUAUUCAGUAAAAGCAUAAAUAUUUUGUGGAAAAAAUAAUAGUAAUAGAAAAAUAUUCUUUCUCUAUGAUUGGAUGAUCUUUACAGUAUAAAUGUAUAUAGAAAAGCCUUGAAUUUAUUAUCUUUUGGAAUAUAUAUUAGCUUUCCAAUUCUUGAUUCAUUGUAUAGAUCACAAGUGUUAUUGUUUUCUUGGUCAGUUGUUUGUGGGAAUCACUGAAAGAUAAUCAGGGGAUCUUCUGCGUUUGACAUAGACUAGCUAAGUAGUCUGCACUAGUGUUUGUCUCCCUGUAGAUGUGAUGAACUUGGACUUCCUCCAUUUCUUCCAUUAGCUUUUGUAUGGCACUGACAUGCUUCCUAUCCCUCCACGUUGGUUGGGUUUUUCCAUUUAUGCAGUCAACAGUGCACUUAGAAUCUGCUCCCACUGUAACCUUGGUGUACCCCCAUUGUCUUAGCUAUCUUCAGACCUGGUUCUACGGCUUGGUGUCGGAGUUAGUUAACUUCUGAUUACUGGAGGGAUGGACUAAAAUUAUACAAAUACAAGCAAAUAGUUUGCACUUUGCACUCUACCAAAUGAUUUCUUAAUUCUUAUCAAAUGGUUUCACAAGUUAUUUGUUGAAGCUGAUUAUGAUGAAGAAACUGUAACCCACCGUUGACAGUAAUGAUGGCAAGAAUGCUCUUACCCUGAUUUCUGGGUUCUGCCGAACAAAUUAUUUUCACAAAUUUUGGCUAGUUCUUAAUUAUUUUGAAAAUUUGGUCAUAGAACACUCUGUGGAAGCAUAAUGUUUAUUGGCAUUUGUGCUUGUAUUGCAGGAGUAAUGGAUUGCACCUUCCAUCCUAGACAACCGUGGUUGUUCACAGCUGGUGCCGACUCAGUGAUCAAGCUCUACUGUCAUUAAGGAACAAGUAUUAGGAUAAGUGCAUUCUUGAAGAAUAUCCUUGGGCCAACAAAGCAAUAUUUGAAAUGAAUGUGCCGAGGGAUGGGAAUGAAUAUCCUUGGGCAAACAGAAUGGGUUUGGAAAACCGAGUAUAAGAACACGAACAAGAGCCAUUUUUCAGUCCUGGCUAGCCUUCCAUGUUAUUUGUAGUCCUGGCUUGCCUUCCAUGUUAUUUGUAUCGUUUUCUUGUAUUGCAUAAGCUGCAACUUCUUUUUGGGUGUUAUUGCGACAGUGC
rnacentral:lncRNA from 1 species